AUUGAACGCUGGCGGCAGGCUUAACACAUGCAAGUCGAGCGGAGCGGCGGACGCGCGAGCAAUGUCUAUGAAUCUGCCUGGUAUUGGGGGAUAACGUCCGGAAACGGGUGCUAUUACCGCUUACUAUCAGAUGAGCCUAGCUGGGAUUAGCUUGUUGGGGGGGUUAAGGCCUACCAAGGCGACGAUCCGUAACUGGUCCGGGAGGAUGAUCAGUCACACUGGGACUGAGACACGGUCAUGGCUCAUACGGGAGGCAGCAGUGGGGAAUAUGGGACAAUGGGCGAGAGCCUGAUGCAGCCAUGCCGCGUGUGUGGAGAAGGUCUUCGGAUUGUGAAGCACUUUAGGUUGGGGGGCGUUACCGACAGAAGAAGCACCGGCUAACUUCGUGCCAGCAGCCGCGGUAAUUC
rnacentral:rRNA from 1 species